UCUUUCUGCUCUCUGCUCUCUCUCACCACACCACCAUCUACUCUCUUUCUCUCUCUCUCUCUUUCUUUCUCUGAAGUCUGAAGUUCCACAGCCACUGCUUAGCAUCAUCGCUGGAAAAAAUUUCAAACACUCACCCUCUCUUGCUUUUCCCCUUUUUGCAAAAUCAAAAUUUUCAUCUUUCUCCUUCCGUUUCUCUCUACACCACCACAACACACCAGCACCUCCAUGGCUCUAUCUUCUCUCUCUCAACUCCAAACCUUGACAGUCGCUGCCUAGCAUCGCCGUCGGAUAUAGAGAUACACUGUCGAUCAUCACCAGUUCUGACGAGACCGACGUUUGUCUCGUCGGAAAACGCCCAAAGCUGUCUCUUUCUCGUUGUUUCCAACCACCAACACCAGAAGUUUUCUCUGCUUCUAACACCAGACGUUGCAUGAAUGUUUUGUUCUCUCUCUUUUUGAAUUUAUUUUCUGAAAUUUUAUGUUUACAUGUGUCUUGUUUUGUUUUGUUUUGUUUUUGUUUUUUUUUUUUUUUUUGUUUUUGGUUUUUUUUUUGUUUUUGGUUUUUUUUAAAUGUUUUAUAAAUUGACAUAUACAUUCAUAUCUAGAAAGGAAACUUCUACUGUUUGAUAAAAUGCUUCAGUGAAAAUAUUGAUUAGAUGAUGCAUUUAUAUGGGAUUUAUAAACAGAGGAAUCAGAAUAGCCAAAGUCUGGGAGACUAGCAAUUCCGAAUUAGCUAAGUUUAAGUUGUUUAUGGAUUAAUAAAAACCAUUUGUGAUCAGUGUCUAUCCAUACCAAUUUUACAUGUACAUUUCACUAUCCAUCUAUCCACAUAUACACUCACAUUUCACUAACAAUACAAAUCUGUCCUACAAGAAUUCAUAAUUCUUAUAUUAGAAAUUGUUAUAAACAAGAUUUUGGUGUGCAUCCUGCAUGCAAACUGUUAGACCAAUAAAUUCAAUCACUACUUUCCAGAAAAGAUACCUAAUCUGACUUGAGUAAUAAGCUCACCCAACUAGUGCAGUGACCUGCAUUAUUUGCUUUUUCAUGGUUGGAAUUUUCACAAUUUGUUUCAUUAUUUGUAAUAAUUUUUUUUUCAUGGUGUAGGGAUGGAUGUGAUGCUUUUGUUCCGUUGUUUUUGCUGAAGGAAUUGAUUUUGAUAAAUAGUUUCUUCCUAAGAGUCUCCUCUAAGGGCCUUGCAUAAAAUUCUGGACAAAAAGCUCUUUUGGAUAGUAUUUUGGACGUUAUUCUGCACAGCUAAUGGACAGCAUUUUGGGAUAGCAUUUUCGACAUUAUUGCACAGUGGAGGAACAUCUUAGAUAGUAUUUUUGACUUGCCAAUUUUUUAGAUAGAAUAGCUGAAAAUUUGGACAAGUGAUUGCAUAGCCAAACACUAAUUAUUGCUGUCAUUUUGGAAAAAUUUUGUAACUAAUGAAAUUACUCAAACAUGAUAGAUUUUGUGUAUGUUUGAGUAGCUUCUAGUUAAAGACUAAUUAUAUGUAAAUGAUGAAAGUUUUUAAUGCAAUAGUACAUCUUAUUCUUUUA